rnacentral:rRNA from 1 species
AACGAACGCUGGCGGCAGGCUUAACACAUGCAAGUCGAACGCCCCGCAAGGGGAGUGGCAGACGGGUGAGUAACGCGUGGGAAUCUACCUAGUUCUACGGAACAACUGAGGGAAACUUCAGCUAAUACCGUAUACGCCCUAAGGGGGAAAGAUUUAUCGGAAUUAGAUGAGCCCGCGUUGGAUUAGCUAGUUGGUGGGGUAAUGGCCUACCAAGGCGACGAUCUAUAGCUGGUCUGAGAGGAUGAUCAGCCACACUGGGACUGAGACACGGCCCAGACUCCUACGGGAGGCAGCAGUGGGGAAUAUUGGACAAUGGGCGCAAGCCUGAUCCAGCCAUGCCGCGUGAGUGAUGAAGGCCUUAGGGUUGUAAAGUCCUUUUGCACGGAAAGACUUAGGACGGUACCGUGCGAAUAAGCUCCGGCUAACUACGUGCCAGCCGCCGCUGUAAUAC